UGGGGAAUAUUGGUCAAUGGGCGAAAGCCUGAACCAGCAAUGUCGCGUGGGUGAUGAAGGCCUUCGGGUUGUAAAGCCCUGUCAGGAGGAACGAAACGUCGGGUUUAGCCCGAUGCUGACGGUACCUUCAAAGGAAGCACCGGCUAACUCUGUGCCAGCAGCCGCGGUAAUACAGAGGGUGCGAGCGUUGUUCGGAAUUACUGGGCGUAAAGCGCGUGUAGGCGGUUUGAUAAGUCGGAUGUGAAAGCCCUCGGCUCAACUGAGGAACAGCAUUCGAUACUGUUAGGCUAGAGUGUCGGAGGGGAUGGCGGAAUUCCUGGUGUAGAGGUGAAAUUCGUAGAUAUCAGGAGGAACACCUGUGGCGAAGGCGGCCAUCUGGAAGAUUACUGACGCUGAGACGCGAAAGCGUGGGGAGCAAACAG
rnacentral:rRNA from 1 species